GCAAUAAUAAAACAUUAUUUUAUUUAUAAAGGCUACUUAUUGGAUAUACCGGUAACAUUAAAAAAUAAUGUUCCCUCACUCACAAAAAAAUGAACUCUCUUUAUAAUAUAGAGAGUAGAUUUUACAUGAUUGUAAGAGAUGAUGUAUAUGCAACGAGUGCAUAUAAUAAUUUCUCAUUUAUAAAAAGGCAACAAAUUUUAUUGAAAAGUAACAGUCAUGUAUAUUGCUUAUCUACAAAAUGCCUGCUUCAGAUACUCAAAAAGAGGAGAAUUUUUUUACAAUUAAUCGCUCUUCAGUAGACUUCCACAUUCCAUUGCUCUGCUUUCUUCAAUGAUCUUUUGUACUCCAACCAAUCAAUG
rnacentral:misc_RNA from 1 species